CAGUGAGAUUCUGUCUUAAAAAAAAAAAAAAAGGUGCAUUCGUUGUGUAUGAGCUUGGCUGCCCUGACAGAGACUGUAAGUAACAGUGGCUUAGAUGUAGUAGAAGGUCAUUGUUCUUCCACUUAACAGCUGGGGCUUACACAAGUCAGAGCCGGCGUGGCAGCUCCGUGAGCAGGGUUCCCUCUGUCAGGUUGCUGCACCUUCUCUAGGGUGUCACCCUCGUGCGCAUGACCUACCACCUCCAUGCUCCUCACCGUCCUCUGCCCUCUCAGCAUUUCCUCUCCAUGGAAACAGUUCCAUAUGUUACAGUUCCCCUCUGUAAAUGUCUAGAGAGCUUUCUGCUUUCCUAAUUGGAUGCUGACUGAUACAACCUGUGACCUCAAAAUGAUAAGAGGUACAGAGAGAACAUGGGCAAAGAAAUGCCACAGACAUAGCCGUGGCAGACACAUCUCAAGAAGCGAGACCAGAAAGGGGAGAAUGGGCAUUGAUGGCCAGAUCUGACAUGGGAGAAGCAUCUUCUGGCUGUUGUUCAUAAACAGGUAGUCUGAGCUGCAGAGUGGAGCUUGGGUGGAGGCUGCAAUUAUGGGAUCCUGAGCUGUGAGGAGGAAG